rnacentral:sRNA from 22 species
UAGCAUUUAGGAAGUGCUUAACUGGUUAAGAUCAAAAAAUCUGAAUUUAACUAGGUCGUCAUGAGUUUGCCAGUGGUAUAUACUUGCAAGCU